UUCCAUUGAGGCGAGCGCGUGCUCCGCCGAGCACAUGGGCGCUCCGCGCUGCCCUGCCUUUUUUAUUUUCCUUUGCACCACGUUAUGGCUUAUUUUUAUUUAUUUUUCUUUUAUUUUUCUUGCUCCCGGCCCUCCGGACCCCUUUCCCAGAGAGAGAGAGAAAAAGAAAGGGAGGGAGGUUUUGGGGGGGGAAAGGGCGCGAUGAAGACGUUCAGUGUUUUACUACAGUAUCACUGUUUUUCUGUAAUUAUCCGGUGCAGCUGUACUAGGAAUUGCAAGGUGCUCCCUAGGUCACCUCAGGUAGCAGAAAGACUGCUUAAAUCUUUGUGCCAGAGACUACAGGAGUUUUCUGCAAGGAAAUGGAGCUCUGCUCUCUGAGGGCCCAGUUUCACAUGGAGGGACUGGACAACCCAGGGUGAUAAGGACCACCACAAAACUCAUCAUAUUCUGCUCCAAGUGCAAGUCACUGGGAUUGCCAUGACAGCAGCAGCCCUUGGGAUUGUGAUUUCAUCAUGACAGAACAUUAUGUCGGGACAGCCCACACCGAGGGGAGGGUGCAACUGGAGCACCGAUGAGAUGGCAGCUGGCUGAGAGGAGCUCGUGCUGAGGUUCCAGCCCCAUGCUUUCCACCACUCUGGAAUAACAUCUGAAGGAGCCCAGCAGCACGGUCCUUUCCGUAGCUUCCAAGGAUUUUUAGGAUCAUGGGAUUUAUGGACCCACAAAACCCUCUGGAGAACAUCAGCUGCGGACAAAAGCACUGGGAAAUUCCUACUGUCUUUUUGCCCUUUGUUUUCUCCCGUGUCACCGAAUUUGGGAAGGAAGCAUCUCUGUCCUGAGGAUUAUAGCAGAGCAGUUACUCGCCGUCCUUACUGGAAUACGGUUUCUCAAGACGGAGCGAUUAUUGCACAAUGCAGGAUAUUUUUUCCCUUUUGCAGAGCUGUUCUGGUGCGGCAGUCGUCAUGUCCAGCAGGUCUCGCUUGACUGUGAAAAGGAGAAAGGAGGAGCGUGUGCAGGGAGGUCAGGUCCUGCCAGGGCUUCCUGGGAAAUGAGGCACAGCGGGGACGCCUUGUCUGGAUGAAAGGUCUGCGUUUGGCUGGAGGAAUUGCAAGUGCAGUGUCUGCACCAUGCACAGGAUGACCUGAGAUGAGGCUGUUUGCAGUAGCUUUGGAUAUCCGAACCCACUGGCUGAUGAGAGCUGGGGCCUCUGCUAAACUACCAAGCGCCUUUGGUUUUUCUUCUUUUGACAGCAGUUUGGACACAGCCUAAAUCUGUGAGCUUGUCUGAGCCUGCUCUCCGUGUUUAUACACCCCGACUGACAGCGUAAGCACCUUCCUGAAGCAUCACCCAGGCAGCUGCAGUCCAACUGGGUCACCUCACGCCGGCUGCAGCGGUCCCACUAGGGACCAGCAAGGCACCUCCUGCGGUGGCACGGAGAGCAUGGCCCUGUGGCACUUCCCUCAUGGGAACCAGCCCUGCAGCAGCUCCCUGCAGUCCUUGUGCUUCUUGAGUAGUGUGUCUUGUGGCUUUGCAGCGGCAGCAAGGGUUGGAUUGAAGCCUAUGGAAGACUGACACCAGUAGUGGGAGGGUAGCGCUGAAUUAAGCGGCAUCCCAGUAACUCAGAAACAGUCUGCAGGUGUGAAAAUGCGAAGAAAUGAGUCCUACAUGUCAGGGCUCUCUUGGUUGGUAUCUCCCUUGAGAGCUUUUGUGCACUUUGCUGCAUCUCCCAUGCACAGGGAAUUCCCUCCAGAUAUCCAUCUGCCUUUGCUGAGCUGCCUCCUCCCCUGCACCUCCUCACCAUAAGCUUUUUUUGGGACAGAAACUUUGUUUUCUGCAUGUGUUUGCAGAAUGCUCAGCAUGUGCUGGCCAGUCUGUGUUGCAGUGUGACUACAUUUUUUGUAGUAAAGGUUAAAAUUUAGCUGCACAAGCUGUUUUAUCUGAACAGCUGCAGCUCUGGAGGAUCUUUUGAAUGCUUCUGUCUCCACUGAUGCCCUAGGUGUGCUCUCAGCGGUGCAGCCCAUUGCCCUGUGUUGAGAAAGUGGAGUCGAUGUUGAUGUAUUCUUGAGAUUGUUACCUUAGGUGAAGGAAGAAAUACAGGUUGCUGCAGUACAUCACUGUUGUUGAGUAUUAAGUGGGCAAAGAGAGAUAGAGUGUGUGUGUAUGUGCGUGUGUGCAUAUAUAGUUUAUUUUGCAAUUUGCUGUUAGCUCUUCUGCGUUACUGGUCAUUCCAGUAUUUUCACUGCAGCACCGGAGAGGCAAAAUGCUUCCUUAUAUAGUGAGGGAAACACAGGCACAGUGACGCUGUGUGGUCGCUGCCCGUCGGCUGAGCUCUGGCCAUGUCCAAACGGGGGAUAUGUACAUCUUCCAUCCAUCUGCCCUGGGGACCAGAUGACAUUGCAGGGGCUCAUGGUGUCCUUGGGUUGGGUGCUUGCUUCUGCCACUGGUCUCUUUGCUCUCAAGCUGCACCUUGAUUCUCCAUCCAGAGAUAGGGAUAAAUUGAAUCUUUGGAGCUGUGAUAAUUACGUUAAGGAAGAGGGAUGCAACAGCAGGUCCUGGUUGCGUGUCUAGGCAGAGCUGGAUGAGUUCUGCAGUAUCAGUGGUUCCCGGUCAAAAAAACUCGUUUUCACUUGGCUUCUCUGAGUCUGGGUGGCUUUUCCCAGAUAAAAUUCAUCCAGCACAACAGCUGCUUUCCCUCCUUUUUCCCUCCUUUUUUGGAAGCAUGCUUGUGCUGGGCUGACACCUCCAACAUCAGCAUCUUGGGGCUCGAAGUUUAAGGCUGAGGCCUCUUUGGUCUCUUGCCCUCUCCUUGCUGCGGGGCCACCAAGCCCUUGGCCUUGUGCAAGGCUUCGUGCUCUCCUUGGGUCUUGUGUGCUGAGGUGGGUGGGAGCCAGGGUUUGAUGAGCCUUUAGGAUUCUUUAGGCACUUAAAUGGGAGAAUGUACUCCUUGAUAAAAUGUGUCUCCUCCUUGAUAAAAUGAGCGGCCCGCCUGCAGUGGUGGGGUGGGGAGGAUUUUGCAAGUGACACCGGCUAAACAUUAGGAAGGGCUGUGAAUUGGGCUGGGUGGAGAAGGAGGUUUUUUAUCUGCUUUCCGGCAGCUAAAAACAGGUGUUCAAUUGACUGGGAGUUGCCCUGAAGGCAGAGAAGAAGGAUGCAAAUGACCUGUGAAGCAUAAAAGGAACCAUCCGAAUGCCCUGUUCUGCCACAAAGUUUGCCUCCACCCUGAGUGAUUUGCAUGUUGUAAGUUGUUCAUUGGCAGCCCCGAGAAAAGGUGACAAGUGGUAGGAUGUCGGGAAACGGUCUCAAGAUGCACCGGGGAAGGUUUAAAUUGGACAUUAGGAAGAAUUUCUUCAUGGAGAGGGUGUACCCAGUUCCAUUUUCUUCAUUGGAACAGGCUGCCUGGGAAAAUGAUGGAGUUCCCCAUCCUUGGAGCUCAUUGAGUUUUCCUGCUCACGUUCAGCUGCUCCUCAUCGGUGGCUCCCACCAUCAUCUGGGCCAGGCAGCGACUCGCCAUGCUCACUGGUUACACAUGGUGGUGCUUGGAAGCACGGACUCAAAACAAACUGGUCCAGUCUUCUUUGUGAACAGGAUCGUGUGUGACCCAUGUGGGUCUCGUGUGUGGGGUCUGGCAGCGGGCUAUGGGAAUGCCUGGUGUAGGUAUUGUUUUCCUGAUAGGUGGGUGAUUUGUAUUUUUAGUUGAUGCUAUGUAUAUGUUAUUUUUCAAAGGUAGAAUGUGAAGUACUGAAAUGUAUGUGUAUUUUAUGUGCAUUUAUGGUCAGGGCUAACUGCAUAUUGCUUAUGUAGCAUCACAGGAAUGUCAUGUUUAUGUGUUUCAUGGCCAUUCAAGCAUUUUGACCAUGUCUUCUAACCAGACAUAGCAGUCAAACAUUACAAUACUGCAGUCGUAAACCUGAUCCACCUCAUGACCACAGCCUAGUAUAUUUAUGAUGAUAACAUCCAGGGGAAGGCGCUGGAUAUGCAUAUACAUGGAUCAUGUAUAUGCACAAGGAUAGUGGAGGGCAGGCGUCUGAUUGUAAGGUGGAAGCUGCUUAUGGAAGUGUCAAGAUGCUGACUAUGAAGGAGACAGAUGUUUUCUGGUCUUUUAUUUAGUUUUUUCAUCAGUGGUUUGUUCAAUAUUGCUGCUUCCUAUUAAAGUUAACAGUGCCUUAUUAAAAUUAACAGUGUCUUAUUAAAA